GUCUCAGUGUCAUAGUGGUUAGCGCACGAUCCCCGGUUAGGCGCGAGACGCGGGUUCGAAUCCCGCCUAGGACG
rnacentral:tRNA from 1 species